UGUAACACUCACCACGAGGGUCCGCAGCUUCAUUCUUAAAGUCAGCGAGACCAAGAACCCACCAAUUCCGGACACGCAAGUAUUCGUAACGUUCUUCUGUUCCAAGAAAAAUGGUCUUCUUACUUCCUUGAUGGCUCACAACAUGCUCCUUUCUACUGCAGGAACACUGUAUAACUUCUGUCAAGCAUGAACUCCCCACCUCUGUUUGACAUACUUCUCUACUUUCAGAACUCAGCUGAACUAUCGCUUCUCAAGGGAGCACUCAAACUUCCUGAACAGAACCACCUUAGAUAUUGCUGGCCAGCUCAUGAAUUGUGGCUUGUGGUCCAGCUAAUCUUUCCUAGUCUAUUCAGCUAUGGCCAGAGAAGAUGUGCUUAACUUGUGGAGCCUUACUGUUUCUCUAAGGACAUUCUUCUACAUAAUGUUGCGUCAGUAGAAUAAUUUUCUCACCAAGUGAUAGCUAGGUAGGUCAGUAAAUCCUCUCCUACACCGUAGUUAUUUGCUUUAAGCCAACUUGAAGUGAACUUCUGUCUCUUCUUUAAUCUGAGAAUCUUACGUCUUCAAGCCCUGUUCACACCGCUUGUCCCAUUAGAAUAAACCUUAUUUAAGUUAGAUAUCUAGCAGAUUACCAAGGAGGAGAAGGAUCAGUGUCAAUAUCUUGUAUUUCAUAAAGCUCUAACAUUUCAAGCAUCAUCUCAUAAGUUCCUAACCCUGGUUUCAGUUUGCAUAUUUGUUGAAAAAACAAGAGAAGUUCAUUCAACAGCAUUAAAAUUCAUCCCUGCUAACAUUCGACAAAGAUUUUUUGGGAAUUAAUCAACUGCAGUGGCUCCCGAAUAAAACACUCACAAUAUAAUAUUUUAAGCCACAGCUAGCUAUUAACACUCUGAAAGAUGAACUGCAUACAUGUUUCACGAAGAUUUAUAUGAAGGACUGAUCUGAAAUAUAUAAGAGAUGCUGAUAGAGAAUUCACCUGGCUUCUAAAUGAGGCAAUACUCUCCCAGAAUUUAUUUAUUACCAAUGUAUUUCAAUUGUGAAAGAUGGUGUA
rnacentral:lncRNA from 1 species